rnacentral:rRNA from 1 species
UGAAAUUUUUAUAAUUAGGUAGUAAAGAAAUUUCCGAAACCUAAAGAAUUUGGCGGUAUUUUAAAUAAUUGGAGGAACCUGUUAUAUAAUUGACAAUCCACAGCAUAUCUUACCUAAAUUUUAUUUGUAUAUCGUCGUUUUGAUAAUAUUUAAAAAUUAUAAUCUAAAAUAAAUAUUUUUUAUAAAUCAGAUCAAGGUGCAGUAUAUUUAGGCUAAUAAUGGGUUACAAUAUAAAUUAUAUAUUAUGGAUGAAAAAAUUGAAAUAUUAAUUUAAAGGUGGAUUCAAAAGUAAUUUUAUAAUAAAAUGUUAUUAUGAUUGAUAAUUUAAAAUAUGC